UAGAUAUUCCAAGCUUAUAUUUCUGGUAACUGAGGAUUACUGAGAUGAAAGACUUGAACAGAAUCAACAGGUCUUAAAGUUCCGAAUGGAACACUGUUAUUAAGUUAUUUUGGGGUUAGAAUCAACAGCUCUCUAGUAUUCUUUGGGUCUGAAAACUGGCAGCAGCUGGUGAGACUGAAAGUCUCCUGGUAGAAUGGAAGACCUUACUGAAAUUAAAUUUUUGGACACUGGACCCAUCUAUUUUUUUGAUCAGAUAAAACCAAAAAGGAAAAUAUGGGAAAAGAGAAAAUGUGAAGACCACUUCCCCCUUUUGGAAUGCACUGAAGGAGCUAACUAUAAUCCUACAAGGAGUAUAUUUAAAGAAGUAGAGAAAGCAAGAUUUUCUACAGUAGCUGAAUCUGGGGAGAAAGAUGAGUUCAUCUCAUCUAGUGUCUCACAAACUUCUAGUGUUUCUAUGUUAUCUACUAAUUUUAAAUUUUCCAAACUACAAAUGCAAAAGUCUCUAUUUGAAGAAUACAAACUCACUGCUGCUGAAAUACUGUACGAACUUGAGGAGAUAUUGCAGAAAUAUGCUGUGUAUAACAUUACUUUCCCUGUGGGAAUUGUAAAUCUUGUGGAUUACAGUUGGCAUGAUCUUACUGCAGAUGCUUAUAAGUAUGCAACCAAAAAUCCUAUGUUGAAGAAACAUCGUGCCUUCCAAGAUGAUACCAGUAUCAUGACUAUGAUCGACUUAAAGGGAUACGAAAUCAACAGCUGCUCAAGAGAAGAAUAUCAUAAGAGGAACUGCCUGGUAAAAGUAAAAGAAGACCAUCAUGAUGCAGCAAGUAAACCUAUGGUAAAAACAUCUCUUCUCGACCAAAAGCAGUGUUCCCAGAUCUCCCAGGAUAGCAGUCUACCUGUUGUCACCCACUUCUCACUGACAUCCAAGAUUUGUUUAGAAAAUGGUUGGAUCCUACAGCAUCCUUCCUCAAAAUUGGAAAUUCUAAAAUUGAAGACAAUUCUUGAUACUGCUGUGAAGAAACUACAAGUAGCCAUAAUGCAAAUAAAAACGGAAGAAGCUAAGCUAAGGAAAGAAGGAUUCAACAAACAGCUUAUCCUGAGCCACUAUAACGAGGAAGAGGUGAACACCAUCCCUGAAGAUUCCCAGUGUUUCUGGCUAGAGUUGCUGAGGAGGAGGACUAAUAUGCCGACAAUCAAGAAGCCUGACCAGAAUUUGAAAAAGUUCCAUUAUGCUCUGACAGAUGGUUCCUCUCUGACCUACUUCCUGUUACUAGUCACAAGAUUGGUUUUAAGGAAUUUGCAGCUGAAGUGGAGGUUCAGGCAAUGUGCACACGUGGAAAGAUCAUGC
ensembl:lncRNA